rnacentral:tRNA from 1 species
GCCGGUGUGGCUCAAAGGUAGAGCAACUCAUUCGUAAUGAGUAGGUUGGGGGUUCGAUUCCCUUCACCGGCUCCA